rnacentral:rRNA from 1 species
CCUACGGGAGGCAGCAGUGGGGAAUAUUGGGCAAUGGGCGCAAGCCUGACCCAGCAACGCCGCGUGAAGGAAGAAGGCUUUCGGGUUGUAAACUUCUUUUCUCAUGGACGAAGCAAGUGACGGUACCUGAGGAAUAAGCCACGGCUAACUACGUGCAAGCAGCCGCGGAAAUACGUAGGUGGCAAGCGUUAUCCGGAUUUACUGGGUGUAAAGGGCGUGUCGGCGGGGACGCAAGUCAGAUGUGAAAACCACGGGCUCAACCUGUGGCCUGCAUUUGAAAAUGUGUUUCUUGAGUUCUGGAGAGGCAGACGGAAUUCCUAGUGUAGCGGUGAAAUGCGUAGAUAUUAGGAGGAACACCAGUGGCGAAGGCGGUCUGCUGGACAGCAACUGACGCUGAGGCGCGAAAGCGUGGGGAGCAAACAGGAUUAGAUACCCCAGUAGUC